UACAGAGGGGGCAAGCGUUGUUCGGAAUUACUGGGCGUAAAGGGCGCGUAGGCGGCCUGCUAAGUCGAACGUGAAAUCCCUGGGCUCAACCCAGGAACUGCGUCCGAUACUGGUUGGCUUGAAUCCGGGAGAGGGAUGUGGAAUUCCAGGUGUAGCGGUGAAAUGCGUAGAUAUCUGGAGGAACACCGGUGGCGAAGGCGGCAUCCUGGACCGGCAUUGACGCUGAGGAGCGAAAGCGUGGGGAGCGAACAGG
rnacentral:rRNA from 1 species